rnacentral:lncRNA from 1 species
CUACUACUCUCACCCAAGCCUCCUUUGCACUGACUUUAUUACAAAAACACCCCACCUCCGGGUGCCAUUUCUCCAAGAAUAAGGCAUUGUCUUUCACCCUUCUCAUCCCUCUUUCAAGAACACGCUCGGCUUCACUUAACAGUUCAAACUCAAAAAGCAAAAGACCUCUUCCCAACACAGAUAUGUUCAGUUUACCUCUGAGAAGCCAGACUUGACCAGCCCAAAAACCCCCACAAACACUCUCCAUUCUCUCAGGUCAGUGAAGAGCAGGGUUUCGUAUCUGAUUUCACCGAAUUUUUUUCCAAUCUAUUAUCUUUUUCUUUUAUUUAUUUUCCUUUUGGUUUUCAAGACUGAUUUACUGAAAUGAAGGUGUUUCUUCUGGGAUUGAUUGGAGAAUUUGGGACAUUGUUGGCUUUUGUUUUUGUUAAAUUUUGCGUUUUUGGAUUUGAAUUGGUUUAUUUGCUUUAGAAAGUGUAAUUAAACAAGGAUGGCAUAUAGAAAAUGAUUAUGGAUUUUUGA